rnacentral:rRNA from 1 species
GGAAGUAAAAGUCGUAACAAGGUCUCCGUUGGUGAACCAGCGGAGGGAUCAUUACCGAGUUUACAACUCCCAAACCCAAUGUGAACCAUACCAAACUGUUGCCUCGGCGGGGUCACGCCCCGGGUGCGUCGCAGCCCCGGAACCAGGCGCCCGCCGGAGGGACCAACCAAACUCUUUCUGUAGUCCCCUCGCGGACGUUAUUUCUUACAGCUCUGAGCAAAAAUUCAAAAUGAAUCAAAACUUUCAACAACGGAUCUCUUGGUUCUGGCAUCGAUGAAGAACGCAGCGAAAUGCGAUAAGUAAUGUGAAUUGCAGAAUUCAGUGAAUCAUCGAAUCUUUGAACGCACAUUGCGCCCGCCAGUAUUCUGGCGGGCAUGCCUGUCCGAGCGUCAUUUCAACCCUCGAACCCCUCCGGGGGGUCGGCGUUGGGGAUCGGGAACCCCUAAGACGGGAUCCCGGCCCCGAAAUACAGUGGCGGUCUCGCCGCAGCCUCUCCUGCGCAGUAGUUUGCACAACUCGCACCGGGAGCGCGGCGCGUCCACGUCCGUAAAACACCCAACUUCUGAAAUGUUGACCUCGGAUCAGGUAGGAAUACCCGCUGAACUUAAGCAUAUCAAUAAGCGGAGG